GACGAACGCUGGCGGCGUGCUUAACACAUGCAAGUCGAGCGGAAAGGCCACUUCGGUGGUACUCGAGCGGCGAACGGGUGAGUAACACGUGAGUAAUCUGCCCCUGGCUUCGGGAUAGCCACCGGAAACGGUGAUUAAUACCGGAUAUGACAGACCCUCGCAUGGGGGUGUGUGGAAAGUUUUUCGGCCAGGGAUGUGCUCGCGGCCUAUCAGCUUGAUGGUGAGGUAAUGGCUCACCAUGGCUUCGACGGGUAGCCGGCCUGAGAGGGUGACCGGCCACACUGGGACUGAGACACGGCCCAGACUCCUACGGGAGGCAGCAGUGGGGAAUAUUGGACAAUGGGCGGAAGCCUGAUCCAGCAACGCCGCGUGAGGGAUGACGGCCUUCGGGUUGUAAACCUCUUUCAGUACCGACGAAGCGCAAGUGACGGUAGGUACAGAAGAAGCACCGGCCAACUACGUGCCAGCAGCCGCGGUAAUACGUAGGGUGCGAGCGUUGUCCGGAAUUAUUGGGCGUAAAGGGCUCGUAGGCGGUUUGUCGCGUCGGGAGUGAAAACGCCGUGCUUAACACGGCGCUUGCUUCCGAUACGGGCAGACUAGAGGUAUUCAGGGGAGAACGGAAUUCCUGGUGUAGCGGUGAAAUGCGCAGAUAUCAGGAGGAACACCGGUGGCGAAGGCGGUUCUCUGGGAAUGACCUGACGCUGAGGAGCGAAAGUGUGGGGAGCGAACAGGA
rnacentral:rRNA from 1 species